rnacentral:rRNA from 1 species
AGCAGUAGCCACGGGAAUACAGAGGGUGCAAGCGUUAAUCGGAAUUACUGGGCGUAAAGCGCGCGUAGGUGGUUUGUUAAGUUGGAUGUGAAAUCCCCGGGCUCAACCUGGGAACUGCAUCCAAAACUGGCAAGCUAGAGUAUGGUAGAGGGUGGUGGAAUUUCCUGUGUAGCGGUGAAAUGCGUAGAUAUAGGAAGGAACACCAGUGGCGAAGGCGACCACCUGGACUGAUACUGACACUGAGGUGCGAAAGCGUGGGGAGCAAACAGGAUUAGAUACCCGAGUAGUCCCUGUCUCUUAUAC